CAAGUAGAGUGAUCGAAAGAUGAAAAGCACUUUGGAAAGAGAGUUAAAAAGUACGUGAAAUUGUUGAAAGGGAAGCGCUUGCAACCAGACUUGUCCGCAGUUGCUCAGCCGGUCUCCUGACCGGCGUACUCUUCUGCGGCCAGGCCAGCAUCAGUUCGGGCGGUCGGAUAAAGGCCUCGGGAAUGUAGCUCCUCUCGGGGAGUGUUAUAGCCCGGGGUGGAAUGCGACCAGCCUGGACUGAGGAUCUCGCUUCGGCAAGGAUGCUGGCGUAAUGGUUGUAAGCGGCCCGUCUUGAAACACGGACCAAGGAGUCUAACAUCUAUGC
rnacentral:rRNA from 1 species